CUCAGGUUGGCCUUUCUUGGAUCAGAGGAGAUGACCCAGGGAGGGGGGAGCGUGGAGGGGCAGCUUCAGUGGUGAGGCUGGGUCUGCAGGCCUGCCCAGGAUUGGGUCUUUGGGCUCCAGAGAGGAAGUGAUUCCUUCCCUCCUGUGGAAGCUGGCUGUGCAUCCAGACAUUUUUAAGUUUUUGGAUCCUAGCAACAUUAAACAGAAAACCCAGGCAUGGUGGUACAUGCUUGUAAUCCUAACAUUCUGGAAGGCCGAGGCAGGAGGAUCACAAGUUUGAGCUCAGCUUGGACAGUUUAGCACGAUUUUGUCUCAGAAAAGAGCUAGGUGUGUACCCCAGUAGGAAGGCCCUGAGUUCCGUUUUUCAGUACUGCAGCAGACACACACACAGGAAGUAGAGUUCCCA
rnacentral:lncRNA from 1 species